GUACGUUCUUGUUGCUUUUAUGCAGUCGAGCGGAAACGACACUAACAAUCCUUCGGGUGCGUUAAUGGGCGUCGAGCGGCGGACGGGUGAGUAAUGCCUAGGAAAUUGCCUUGAUGUGGGGGAUAACCAUUGGAAACGAUGGCUAAUACCGCAUAAUGCCUACGGGCCAAAGAGGGGGACCUUCGGGCCUCUCGCGUCAAGAUAUGCCUAGGUGGGAUUAGCUAGUUGGUGAGGUAAUGGCUCACCAAGGCGACGAUCCCUAGCUGGUCUGAGAGGAUGAUCAGCCACACUGGAACUGAGACACGGUCCAGACUCCUACGGGAGGCAGCAGUGGGGAAUAUUGCACAAUGGGCGAAAGCCUGAUGCAGCCAUGCCGCGUGUAUGAAGAAGGCCUUCGGGUUGUAAAGUACUUUCAGUUGUGAGGAAGGGGGUAGUGUUAAUAGCGCUAUCUCUUGACGUUAGCAACAGAAGAAGCACCGGCUAACUCCGUGCCAGCAGCCGCGGUAAUACGGAGGGUGCGAGCGUUAAUCGGAAUUACUGGGCGUAAAGCGCAUGCAGGUGGUUCAUUAAGUCAGAUGUGAAAGCCCGGGGCUCAACCUCGGAACUGCAUUUGAAACUGGUGAACUAGAGUACUGUAGAGGGGGGUAGAAUUUCAGGUGUAGCGGUGAAA
rnacentral:rRNA from 1 species